rnacentral:rRNA from 1 species
UACGGGGGGGGCAAGCGUUGUUCGGAAUUACUGGGCGUAAAGGGCUCGUAGGCGGCCAACUAAGUCAGACGUGAAAUCCCUCGGCUUAACCGGGGAACUGCGUCUGAUACUGGAUGGCUUGAGUUUGGGAGAGGGAUGCGGAAUUCCAGGUGUAGCGGUGAAAUGCGUAGAUAUCUGGAGGAACACCGGUGGCGGAAGGCGGCGAUCCUGGACCAACACUGACGCUGAGUGAGCGAAAGCCAGGGGAGCAAAACGGGG